rnacentral:rRNA from 1 species
UACAGAGGUGGCAAGCGUUGUUCGGAAUUACUGGGCGUAAAGGGCGCGUAGGCGGUCUUGUCAGUCCCUUGUGAAAUCCCCCGGCUCAACUGGGGAACUGCACGGGAAACAGCAGGGCUUGAGUUCGGGAGAGGGAAGCGGAAUUCCGGGUGUAGCGGUGAAAUGCGUAGAUAUCCGGAGGAACACCGGUGGCGAAGGCGGCUACCUGGCCCAUUCUUGACGCUGAGGCGCGAAAGCUAGGGGAGCAAACGGG